AGACGGGGACCCGCACAAGCGGUGGAUGAUGUGGAUUAAUUCGAUGCAACGCGAAAACCUUACCUACCCUUGACAUGUCCGGAAUCCCGAAGAGAUUUGGGAGUGCUCGCAAGAGAGCCGGAACACAGGUGCUGCAUGGCUGUCGUCAGCUCGUGUCGUGAGAUGUUGGGUUAAGUCCCGCAACGAGCGCAACCCUUGUCAUUAGUUGCCAUCAUUUGGUUGGGCACUCUAAUGAGACUGCCGGUGACAAACCCGGAGGAAGGUGGGGAUGACGUCAAGUCCUCAUGGCCCUUAUGGGUAGGGCUUCACACGUCAUACAAUGGUCGGUACAGAGGGUUGCCAACCCGCGAAGGGGAGCUAAUCCCACAAAGCCGAUCGUAGUCCGGAUCGCAGUCUGCAACUCGACUGCGUGAAGUCGGAAUCGCUAGUAAUCGUGGAUCAGCAUGUCACGGUGAAUACGUUCCCGGGUCUU
rnacentral:rRNA from 1 species